rnacentral:tRNA from 1 species
GGCCCCGUAGCUCAGCUGGAUAGAGUACCGGACUUCGAAUCCGUUGGUCGCGUGUUCGAAUCACGCCGGGGUCGCCA